rnacentral:lncRNA from 1 species
CCGAGCCAGGUGCAGGAUGUAAUCUCCUGGUGCGCGGUUUUUUUAAGCCCGUCGGAAAAGCGCAGUAUUCGGGUGGGAGUGACCCGAUUUUCCAGGUGCCCUCUGUCACCCCUUUGACUAGGAAAGGGAACUCCCUGACCCCUUGUGCUUCCCGAGUGAGGCAAUGCCUCGCCCUGCCUCGGCUCACGCACAGUGCGUGCACCCACUGACCUGCACCCACCCACUGACCUGCACCCACUGUCUGGCAGUCCCUAGUGAGAUGAACCCGGUACCUCAGAUGGAAAUGCAGAAAUCACCCAUCUUCUGCGUUACUCACGCUGGGAGCUGUAGACCGGAGCUGUUCCUAUUCGGCCAUCUUGGCUCCUCCUCCCAGAAACAAGUUCUUGAUGUGUUGCCCAAGGUGGACUCAAACUCCUCUGCUCAAGAGAUCCUCCCACCUCAGACUCCUGAGUAGCAAGGACUCCAGGCAUGUGCCGGUAAAUGUUAGUUGCCUGCUCUGGGAAACCAUGCUGUGAGGCAGCCCAAGGUAGAGACCACACGGAGAAGAUGCCAGGUGGAAUAUUCCAGUGGACAGCCCCCAGUGAGGUGUCAGCCAACAGCCAUUUCCAGGCAUGUAGGUAAAACAACUUCAGAUGAUUCCAGGCUUUGACAAGCCAGCCCUACUAUAGCCUGUUCAAAUUCCCAAUCUUCAUAAUCCACGAAUGAUAAUAAAAUGAUUAUUUUAUGCCACUAAAUUGGGGGUGGUGGUGGUUAUAAUGUAACAAUAGUUACAACAACCAUUCAUCUUUAAAAAAAAAUUACUAAAUUCCAAAUAUUUGUUAGACAAGCUAGCUUUCUCAGCCCCUACCCAGGACUACUGGUCUUUCCUAUUGAAAUCUGAAAUGUUCUCUUCCUGGUCUUCAGAGUACUUGCAGCUGCCUCUUCUACUCUUUCUAUAACUCUACUUGGCUUCAGUACUCAGAAAGCCUUUCCCUUGGCCCAGUUCUCUCUGUACACUGUGUUGUUUGUCUGCAGCACAAUAGCUAUGUGGUUGCUAAGGCUGGGUCCACCCUUCAGUGAUGCUGGGAUUCUUCACCUAUUAUUCUCAGUUAAUGUCUAGGCCAAGGCUUCCUAGCUGCCAUUUGGUCCAGAUGGUAAAACUCUCUUUCCAGGAGUUUAUUUGUCCAGCAUGUCGCCUCUUCUGCAGCUCCUGUCUCACUGCCCUUCUUUGGCCACUCUUGGGAGAUAGUUACAAUUACACUAGAGGGGUAUUUUGGGGGCCCAAUAGAACACAUAUCAUCUAUUGGCCAGCACAGUGUAAGUACUGAAUCCAUAAAAAUUUUUCUUGAUACAUCCUCUCUAUCAAAGAGUCUUUUUUUUUUUUUUUUUUUUUUUUUUUUUUUUUUUUUGAGAUGGAGUCUUGCUCUGUCGCCAGGCUGGAGUGCAGUGGCACAAUCCCGGCUCACUGCAACCUCUGCCUCCCGGGUUCAAGCAAUUCUCCUGCCUCAGCCUCUCGAGUAGCUGGGAUUACAGGCAUGUGCCACUACGCCCAGCUAAUUUUUUGUACUUUUAAUAGAGACGGGGUUUCACCACGUUGGCCACAAUGGUCUUGAUCUCUUGACCUUGUGAUCUGCCCGCCUCAGCCUCCCAAAGUGCUGGGAUUACAGGCGUGAGCCACCUUAAG